GCGCCCCUAGCUCAGUUGGUUAGAGCAUCUGACUUUUAAUCAGAGGGUCCUCGGUUCGAGCCCGAGGGGGCGUA
rnacentral:tRNA from 2 species